CAGUAGCCACGGUAAUACGAAGGGUGCAAGCGUUAAUCGGAAUUACUGGGCGUAAAGGGUGCGUAGGCGGUUGUUUAAGUCUGUUGUGAAAUCCCCGGGCUCAACCUGGGAAUGGCAAUGGAAACUGGACGGCUAGAGUGUGUCAGAGGAUGGUGGAAUUCCCGGUGUAGCGGUGAAAUGCGUAGAGAUCGGGAGGAACAUCAGUGGCGAAGGUGGCCAUCUGGGACAACACUGACGCUGAAGCACGAAAGCGUGGGGAGCAAACAGAAUUAGAUACCCGAGUAGUCCCUGUCUCUUAUAC
rnacentral:rRNA from 1 species